AUGCCCGAGGCAACCAAGGCAUUGGACUCCCUUGGAGACUUAUCCGGCAUGCUCAUCGACGACUACUACAACAACAUGAAGAAGAAGAUCACCGACGAGGAGCACAGGCGCUGGGCCACCCUGCCUCUGUCCAUGAGGCACAUCGAGUACAUGGCAAAGGACGCCUAUGAAGCAUACGAGAUAUGGAACCGCAUCACCCUCACCCAGGACGGCCUUCGUCGUGCAAAGCUGGAGAAGGAGGAUCCCCCCAAGAAGCGCGCCAGGAGCAGCUGGGGAUUGGAAGAGCCUAACUGGUGA
rnacentral:rRNA from 1 species